UGGCCUGUUACAGGUUCUGUUCUACAACCUCAAUAUCAAGAAUUACAAGUCAGGCCCAUCACUUGUCGGCGAUCGUUGAUUAAACAACUCUGCACUUUCCCGGCCCCGUUUUCGGCGGCGUAACAACAACGCCGCCGAUAAUGGACUACAACAACAAGCUUGUUCUUGCUCCUAUGGUUCGAGUUGGUACACUGCCUUUGAGGUUAUUAGCUGCUGAAUAUGGUGCUGAUAUCACUUAUGGGGAGGAAAUUAUCGACCAUAAGCUUGUUAAGUGCGAUCGUAUCGUUAACGAUUAUUUGGGUACGAUUGAUGUAGUUGAGAAAGGGACUCAAAAUGUGGUAUUUAGGACCUGCCCGGAGGAGCAAAGCCGGGUCGUGUUUCAGAUGGGGACUUCUGAUGCUGUUAGGGCUCUCAAGGCUGCCCAACUUGUUUGCAAUGAUGUUGCUGCUGUUGAUAUCAAUAUGGGUUGUCCCAGGUCAUUUUCUAUUAGUGGGGGCAUGGGUGCUGCGUUGCUAUCAAAGCCAGAGACUAUUCACGAUAUUCUGACAACAUUGAAGAGGAACCUAAUUACCCCCGUAACAUGUAAAAUACGACUUUUGAAAAUAUCUCAUUACACUGUGGAAUUGGCCAGACAGAUUGAGAAAACAGGUGUUUCUGCUCUUGCUGUCCAUGGAAGAAAAGUUCCAGAUAGACCAAGGGAUCCUGCUAAGUGGAAUGAGAUUGCUGAUGUGGUUGCUGCAUUAUCAAUUCCAGUAAUAGCAAAUGGCGAUGUCUUUGAUUAUGAAGAUAUUCAGCACAUCAAAAAUGCUACAGGUGCCUCGUCCAUUAUGGUUGCAAGAGGUGCUCUUUGGAACGCAUCGGUUUUCUCUCCUAAAGGAAAAUUGCCAUGGGAAGAGGUGAAGAAAGAGUAUGUCAGGAAGAGCAUCUUGUGGGAUAAUGAAGUCAAAAGCACUAAGCACACUUUGAAGGAAAUGAUAAUGCACCAUUCUUGCCUUGAACUUCCAGAAGGGAAGGCUGUGAUCAAAUCAGAAACCUUGGCGGAUCUUGCGAAACUUUAUGGGGAAGAGGAAUAUUUCCAGUUUGUCAACGAAAACAGAUGAUGCAUAAGGGCUUUAAGGCUAUGUAAAAUGAAACACAAAUCCAUUCCUACAAAUUCUCAUCUAAUUUGAAGAUUAGGAUGCAUGUCAGGGUCCUUUCUCCUGAUUAAGCACAUAUAUAGACUUGCAACUUGCAUCUGAUAAGUGAAUGAGUUUAACCAAAACGUGUUUGUGGACAAGAUCUGACUACUGCUGAACCGUAAAGCGCCUUCAUGAAAAUUGAGCAUUUCUACGUCACUGCAGUUGUCUACAGCGAUUGAUUGUGGUGAAGAGUGUUUUAUGAUUGAACAAAUGGUUGAUACUUGAUUGUCCUCUUCCUCCUUUACCCGUUGAACUUGCUGGUUAUGAAGAAUCAGAUGAUGAAGUUACUAAUUGGCAAAUAUUGAAUUUCUGUUAUAUGUAUUUUGGAACUCUUGGAACUUUUUAGUGUUGUAUAAUUGUACUAUAAACUAUGCAGCAAGUGGCUUUGAAUUUGCAUUUUACAUUUU